AUGACCCCAGGUCAGUCGAGACUACCCACUGAGUUUAGGCAUAUAAAUAAGUGGAGGAGAAGAAACUUACAAGGAUUCCCCUAGUAAUGGCGAGCGAACCAGGACCAGCCUAGCUUGAGAAUCAGGUGGCUUCGUCACCCGAAUUGUAGUCUAGAGAGGCAUCCUCAACGGUGACCUACAAAGGGAUGCCUGGGAGGGUGAGAGCCUCGUCCGGCCUAGACCCUAUUGCACCACGAGGUGCUGUCAAUGAGUCAGGUUGUUUGGGAAUGCAGCCCAAAUCAGGCAGUAAACUCCGUCCAAGGAUAAAUACAUUUGAGAGACCGAUAGCGAACAAGUACCGCGAGGGAAAGAUGAAAAUGACUUUGAAAAGAGAGUCAAAGAGUGCUUGAAAUUGCUGGAGGGAAGCUGAUGGGGGCUGGCGAUGCCCCGGUCGUAUGCGAAACACUUCUACUGGUCCGCCAAUCGGCUUGGGCAUGGACUGUUGUCGGCCAUGCCGGCGGCCUAAGCCUAGGAGCCCUAGGUGCCUCUGGCAGCCAUCAUUGACACAGCUAGACUCCACGCGCCGCAAGGCACGCUCCUUAGGGUGCUACGCUGCAACGGCCUACGAGCUCCCCAUCUGACCCGUCUUGAAACACGGACCAAGGAGUCGACGUGCGUGCUGAGUCAAUUGGUUCUUAAACCUAGGAUGCACAAGGAAGCUGACAAGUGGGAGGUCUUCACAGGCUACACCACUGGCCGACCCUGAUCUUCUGUGAAGGGUUCGAGUUGGAGCAUGCCUGUCGAGACCCGAAAGAUGGUAAACUAUGCCUGAGCGGGGCGAAGCCAGAGAAAACUCUAGUGGAGGAUCAAAGCGAUACUAGCGGGCAAACCAUUCAUCUAACUUGCGUAUAGGGGCGAAAGACUAAUUGAACCAUCCAACAGCUGGUUCCCUCCAAGUUUCCCUCAGGAUAGCUGGAGCCCAUUAUGAGUUCUAUCGGGUAAAGCUAAUGAUUAGAGACAUCAGGGGCGCAAUGCCCUCGACCUAUUCUCAAACUUUAAAUAGGUAGGACAGCAUGGCUGCUCCAGUGAGCCAUGCCACGGAAUCAGGAGCUCCAAGUGGGCCAUUUUUGGUAAGCAGAACUAGCGAUGUAGGAUGAACUGGAAGCCGGCUUACAGUGCCGAACUACGCGCUAACCUAGAACCCACAAAGGGUGUUGGUCGAUUAAGAUAGCAGGACGAUGGUCAUGGAAGUCGAAAUUCGCUAAGGAGUGUUACAUAUGUGAUAUACAUAGUAAUGUAUAAUGUUUUUGCAAAAUAAAUUGGGUGUACAUUUGUACACCCUAGACCCAUGCUAUGGCCACCCCUGUCCCUAUGUAUGUAUAUUGGAAUUGAGAUGAUAAUAGGAUGGAAACUUUAUCUAAUUGUUGAGCUGUACCAGUGGUGUACUGGUUAUGUCCAAUGUACAUCUCUUUUGCCUUAGCUAUGUAAUAGAUCAGACCAGUAGGGAGAAUCUAUCUUGUGCAAAAAGGAACUCACAAUAUAAGUGGAACAUCUAGGCAAUAGGGCCAUGCAUAGAUCGGACUAGCAGGGACAAUCUAUCUUGUGCAAAAAGGAACACACAAUAAGUGAAACAUCUAGGCAAUAUAGCAUGCACAAACAUCUAGGCAAUAUAGCAUGCACAACAUCUAUGCAACCGUAUAAACAUGACCAGAAGCAAGGGAUGUACAUCAGUACAAGAAUGCAGACUAAUUAGUUAAGUCCCAAGUUGCUAGUCCAUCAGUCUGGCUACUACUAAACACCAUUGGUUGCAUAUAGGCCGUUUUAAGGAUCUGGAGUGAAUCUAGGGGGAUGAUAAUAAGUUCAACGCUGUCCUCACACUUCUUGAUAUCGAAACUGUAGAAAGACGACUGCACACGCAGAUUGUUGUGAAGAAAAUAUUGCUUCCACUAUUUUUUGUCUAGCCAAAUGCGGUCGCCAACUGGUUGUCGGUUCCAUAUACAUAAGACUAUAUUGUGUGGCAAGCCUCCCAGUUCCAUGUGUAACUUGAAGACACCUGUGGUCACGUUGUCCUCAUAGAACGUCUUCAGCUUGUUAUAAAAUGCCUUACAAAGGUACUGCAUGUAGAAAGAAUAAUUAAAAUAUGGAAUGAUAAGCUUAAGAAUCGUCUGACUCAUUUAGGGCAUACUUACAAGUUGAUAUGCGCCUUUUUAUUUUUUUUCCUUCAGGACCAGAAGAUUUUGGAAUCUUAUAAAUGCAAAGCACCACAUUGUCUAGCUAACACAUCAAAACCUGCUUAAGGUUUUCGCAAAGUGUUAUACCCUAAGUGACAGCAGGCCCCUUCCUGAAGGCUCAUCAAUCUGGACCUGCUUUGGUGAUGCAGCUCCAGGCUCAUCAAUCCCCUUUCUGCUCACACCAAUCUUCUAUUGCAUCGUCAAUCUAAUUGGAGCUCAAGACUAUGCCCGCCUCCGAUAGAUCUUCUGUCUGAACUGGCCCUAAUGUGGCUCUAGGCACACCAUUUGCUGAUGAAUUGUCACCUAGUUUGGAACUCCA
rnacentral:rRNA from 1 species